rnacentral:tRNA from 1 species
GCCGGAGUGGCGGAACUGGUAGACGCCGGGGACUUAAACUCUCCUGUCGCGCAACGCGGCGUCCGGGUUCGACUCCCGGCUCCGGCA